GGACGGGUGAGGAACGCGUAGGAAUCGGCCCACGAGUGGGGGACAACCUGGGGAAACUCAGGCUAAUACCGCAUGAGCUCGGGAGAGGAAAGCGGGGGACCUUCGGGCCUCGCGCUGGUGGACGAGCCUACGUCCGAUUAGCUGGUUGGUGGGGUAAAGGCCCACCAAGGCGACGAUCGGUAGCGGGUCUGAGAGGACGACCCGCCACACUGGGACUGAGACACGGCCCAGACUCCUACGGGAGGCAGCAGUGGGGAAUAUUGGACAAUGGGCGCAAGCCUGAUCCAGCAAUGCCGCGUGGGUGAAGACGGCCUGCGGGUUGUAAAGCCCUUUAGGCGGGGAGGAACGACCGGGUGCCAACACCAUCUGGAAGUGACGUUACCCGCGGAAUAAGCACCGGCUAACUCCGUGCCAGCAGCCGCGGUAAUACGGAGGGUGCGAGCGUUAAUCGGAAUUACUGGGCGUAAAGCGUGCGUAGGCGGAUGGGUCAGUCAGCCGUGAAAGCCCCGGGCUC
rnacentral:rRNA from 1 species